rnacentral:rRNA from 1 species
UACAGAGGGUGCGAGCGUUAAUCGGAAUUACUGGGCGUAAAGCGCGCGUAGGCGGCUUUGCAAGUCGGGUGUGAAAUCCCCAGGCUUAACCUGGGAACUGCAUUCGAGACUGCAUUGCUAGAGUAUGGGAGAGGGAAGUGGAAUUUCAGGUGUAGCGGUGAAAUGCGUAGAUAUCUGAAGGAACAUCAGUGGCGAAAGCGACUUCCUGGACCAAUACUGACGCUCAUGCACGAAAGCGUGGGGAGCAAACAGG